rnacentral:rRNA from 1 species
GCUGGCGGCAGGCCUAACACAUGCAAGUCGGGCGGUAACAGGGAGUGCUUGCACUUCGCUGACGAGCGGCGGACGGGUGAGUAAUGCAUAGGAAUCUGCCUGGUAGUCGGGGGAUAGCCCAGAGAAAUUUGGAUUAAUACCGCAUACGCCCUACGGGGAAAGCAGGGGGGAUCUUCGGACCUUGCGCUAUCAGAUGAGCCUAUGUCGGAUUAGCUUGUUGGUGAGGUAACGGCUCACCAAGGCGACGAUCCGUAGCCGGUCUGAGAGGAUGAUCAGCCACACUGGGACUGAGACACGGCCCAGACUCCUACGGGAGGCAGCAGUGGGGGAUAUUGGACAAUGGGCGCAAGCCUGAUCCAGCCAUGCCGCGUGUGUGAAGAAGGCCUUCGGGUUGUAAAGCACUUUCAGCGAGGAGGAAAGGGGUGUUGCUAAUAUCAACGCCCUGUGACGUUACUCGCAGAAGAAGCACCGGCUAACUCCGUG